rnacentral:lncRNA from 7 species
GAUUUGCCAAUUUACUACACCUUGUGUGUUGGAAUAUGUAGUAAAUUUUGUGACUUGUACCAGUUCAUCCUAGUUCCCUAAAAUCUGAGUAAUUAACUCCCCUGAGUUUCUCUGAAGCACAUUUAGAGCCUGUGGGGGUGAACACGCAUCUUGAAGUGCAAGUGCUAUAAUACAGAUUCCUAACUAAGAUUUGUAAGUUAGUAUUAAUGCUUUCUGUUUGGAAAAUCUGUACUAAUGGAGACAUAUCGGUAUAUUGUGUGUGUGUGUGUAUAAAUGCGAUUUUAAUUUCUGUAAUGUCUGAAUGGUAUAUGAGCUUUGAAGAUGAGGGGACGCUACCUCUCCAGUCACACCACCCCAUUAUCCUCCUGCACGGCCGCUGGUGCCCAGGAACUGGGGGCUCUGCCCAAGCUGAUGAACACAGUUGCCACUUUCCCCUUUGCACCAGUAUUAAAGUUGAACACGUGUCCCAGACACACACAGAGGGCACUGACAUGGCUGGUCACACAGCCACAAUGCUGUUGUCAACGUCACCUGUCAUGUCCUUCUCUGUGAUUCUGCCACAGGGUUGUUGGAAAGGAUUUUGGCAGUGUCUUCAUAUGAUGUUCCAGAAUUCAGUUCUACCUCCAGAACAAGCCCAUCCCAGCUACAGCAUCAGCCAGUGGAAAGGAAACCUUGCUGAGAAAAUCAGAAGGGAAGCAUGGAACAGCUGGAGGUGCAGGACAGGGAGUGGAAAGGGCAGGAAAGGCAGUUUUGCCUCUUCUGUGGUACUGUGGUCAUUGGCAACUGGAGAUGUACCCAAUGGCUGGGCAGUAAGGUAG